GAUGAACGCUGGCGGCGUGCUUUAACACAUGCAAGUCGAACGAUGAAGCCCAGCUUGCUGGGUGGAUUAGUGGCGAACGGGUGAGUAACACGUGAGUAACCUGCCCUUAACUCUGGGAUAAGCCUGGGAAACUGGGUCUAAUACCGGAUAGGAGCGUCCACCGCAUGGUGGGUGUUGGAAAGAUUUAUCGGUUUUGGAUGGACUCGCGGCCUAUCAGCUUGUUGGUGAGGUA
rnacentral:rRNA from 1 species